CAUGAAUUUGAUUUGUGGGAUAUAUACGAAACAAAACCCAGAUAGCAAGCACAUUGGGGCCGAUUCCGACUGAAAUGCGCGAAAGAGGAAUACUUUCAGCUGCAAAAAGGGUGCCGCCAUGUUCGCGUGACGUCAUACACACGACAUCAUGAAUCUUGGACCCGAGUCAUCUGGAGACCACAAUAUCAGACACUUGAGGGUGAACGUUUAAGUAAACAAACACUUUGGCACACAGAGAGCACCCUAACUGCAUCGAGUGAAACUCAUUCCUGAAGAGCAGGUGCAGACCAUCAUCAUCAUAAUCAUAAUGGCCCACAAG